UACGGAGGGUGCAAGCGUUGUCCGGAUUUAUUGGGUUUAAAGGGUGCGUAGGCGGUCUAUUAAGUCAGUGGUGAAAUAUCGCAGCUUAACUGUGAGGGUGCCAUUGAUACUGAUGGACUUGAGUGAAGUCGAAGUAGGCGGAAUUGACGGUGUAGCGGUGAAAUGCUUAGAUAUCGUCAAGAACACCGAUAGUGAAGACAGCUUACUAGGCUUAUACUGACGCUGAGGCACGAAAGUGUGGGGAUCAAACAGG
rnacentral:rRNA from 1 species